UUAACUGCUCGCUCAUCAGAUACCAUAAAGGGUGUUGGUUCAUUUUAACAGCAGGACGGUGGUCAUGGAAGUCGGAACCCGCUAAGGAGUGUGUAACAACUCACCUGCCGAAGGUACUAGCCCUGAAAAUGGAUGGCGCUCAAGCGGACCACCGAUGCGCGGCCGCCGGCGCGAGCGCGAGGCGCCGGCGAGUAGGAGGGCGCGGGGCUCGCGGCGCAGCCUUGGGCGCGAGCCUGGGUGAAGCGGGCCCCGGUGCAGAUCUUGGUGGUAGUAGCAAAUAUUCAAAUGAGAACUUUGAAGACUGAAGUGGAGAAAGGUUCCGUGUGAACAGCAGUUGGACACGGGUGAGCCGACCCUAAGAGACAGGAAAACUCCGCCGAACGCGGCUGGUUCUGUCAGCCCGUCCGUCGAAAGGGAAUCGGGUUAAUAUUCCCGAGCCAGCGCGUGGAUGGUGGGCGGCGACGCGAACGAACCCGGAGACGCCGGCGGGAGCCCUGGGAAGAGUUCUCUUUUCUUCUUAACUGCCUCCUGCCCUGGAAUCGGUUUAGCCGGAGCGAGGGCUACACGGCAGGCAAAGCACCCUAAGUCUUGGGGUGUCCGGCGCGCUCCCGACGGCCCGUGAAAAUCCGGGGGAGCGGUUCGUUCUCACGCCUGGUCGUACUCAUAACCGCAUCAGGUCUCCAAGGUGAACAGCCUCUAGUCGAUAGAGCAAUGUAGGUAAGGGAAGUCGGCAAAAUGGUUCCGCAACCUCGGGAGAAGGAAUGGCUCUGAAGGCUGGGCGCAGGGGUCCUAGGCUCGAGGCCGGCUGGCUGCGCGGGGACUACGGCCUCACGGCUGCGGAUCCCGCGCGGCCGUCCGGCGGACGGCCUAGGAGCGCUCCGGCUCUCCCUGCGCGACGAACAGCCGCUUCAGAACUGGCGCGGACAAGGGGAAUCCGACUGUUUAAUUAAAACAAAGCAUUGCGAUGGCCCGCGAGGGUGCUGACGCAAUGUGAUUUCUGCCCAGUGCUCUGAAUGUCAAAGUGAAGAAAUUCAACCAAGCGCGGGUAAACGGCGGGAGUAACUAUGACUCUCUUAAGGUAGCCAAAUGCCUCGUCAUCCAAUUAGUGACGCGCAUGAAUGGAUUCGUGAGAUUCCCACUGUCCCUAUCUACUGUCUAGCGAAGCCACAGCCAAGGGAACGGGCUUGGAAGAAUCAGCGGGGAAAGAAGCCCUGUUGAGCUUGACUCUAGUCUGUUACUGUGGAACGACUUGAUGGGUGUAGAAUAUGCGGGAGGGGCAACCCGACAGUGAAAUACCGCAACCGUCAACGUUGUUUUACUUACUCGGUGGCGCGGAGGGAGGCUCGCCUCACUUCUGGAUCCAAGCCGCUUCGUGCGCGCGAUCCGCGUCGGGGACACUAACAGGUGGGGAGUUUGGCUGGGGCGGCACGUCUGUUAAAAAAUAACGCAGGCGCCCGAUUUUGAGCUCAAUGAGAACAGAAAUCUCAUGU
rnacentral:rRNA from 1 species